rnacentral:lncRNA from 1 species
GUAGCGAGGCUACAUACAGUAGAGGCUAUAUACAGUAGAGAGGCUAUAUACAGUAGAGAGGCUAUAUACAGUAGAGAGGCUAUAUACAGUAGAGAGGCUAUAUACAGUAGAGAGGCUACAUACAGUAGAGAGUCUAUAUACAGUAGAGAGGCUAUAUACAGUAGAGGCUAUAUACAGUAGAGAGGAUAUAUACAGUAGAGGCUAUAUACAGUAGAGAGGCUAUAUACAGUAGAGAGGCUAUAUACAGUAGAGAGGCUAUAUACAGUAGAGAGGCUAUAUACAGUAGAGAGGCUAUAUACAGUAGAGAGGUUAUAUACAGUAGAGAGGCUAUAUACAGUAGAGAGGUUAUAUACAGUAGAGAGGCUAUAUACAGUAGAGAGGAUAUAUACAGUAGAGAGGCUAUAUACAGUAGAGAGGCUAUAUACAGUAGAGAGGCUAUAUACAGUAGAGAGGCUAUAUACAGUAGAGAGGCUAUAUACAGUAGAGAGGCUAUAUACAGUAGAGAGGCUAUAUACAGUAGAGGCUAUAUACAGUAGAGGCUAUAUACAGUAGAGAGGCUAUAUACAGUAGAGGCUAUAUACAGUAGAGAGGCUAUAUACAGUAGAGAGGCUAUAUACAGUAGAGAGGCUAUAUACAGUAGAGGCUAUAUACAGUAGAGAGGCUAUAUACAGUAGAGAGGCUAUAUACAGUAGAGAGGCUAUAUACAGUAGAGAGGCUACAUACAGACACCGGUUAGUCAGGCUGAUUGAGGUAGUAUGUACAUGUAGAUAUGGUUAAAGUGACUAUGCAUAUAUGAUGAACAGAGAGUAGCAGCAGCGUAAAAGGGGGGUUGGGGGG